UUCGGAUGUACUUUCCAACAAAUUAAACGGUUUAACGGCUGAGAGCAAUUCCCGUUGAACGUUUUCCAAAGCGCAUCCCAGAUUAAAUGACUGGAACUCUGUGCGUGCGCAUGGAAGUCUCUGAGCACGCAUCGUUCUUCCAGUCACAAUUC
rfam:Drosophila grimshawi strain TSC#15287-2541.00 scaffold_15110 genomic scaffold, whole genome shotgun sequence.